AGAGUUUGAUCAUGGCUCAGGACGAACGCUGGCGGCGUGCUUAACACAUGCAAGUCGAACGGUGAUGGUGCAGCUUGCUGUGCCUGAUCAGUGGCGAACGGGUGAGUAACACGUGAGUAACCUGCCCCAGACUCUGGAAUAACCCCGGGAAACCGGAGCUAAUACCGGAUAUGACACUGGCCCGCAUGGGUAUGGUGUGGAAAGUUUUUCGGUCUGGGAUGGGCUCGCGGCCUAUCAGCUUGUUGGUGAGGUAGUGGCUCACCAAGGCGACGACGGGUAGCCGGCCUGAGAGGGCGACCGGCCACACUGGGACUGAGACACGGCCCAGACUCCUACGGGAGGCAGCAGUGGGGAAUAUUGCACAAUGGGCGCAAGCCUGAUGCAGCGACGCCGCGUGAGGGAUGACGGCCUUCGGGUUGUAAACCUCUUUCAGCAGGGAAGAAGCGCAAGUGACGGUACCUGCAGAAGAAGCACCGGCUAACUACGUGCCAGCAGCCGCGGUAAUAC
rnacentral:rRNA from 1 species